rnacentral:rRNA from 1 species
UACGUAGGUGGCAAGCGCUGUCCGGAUUUAUUGGGUUUAAAGGGUGCGUAGGCGGCCCUGUAAGUCAGUGCUGAAAUAUCCCAGCUUAACUGGGAGGGUGGCAUUGAUACUGCGGGGCUAGAGUACAGAUGAGGUAGGCGGAAUUGACGGUGUAGCGGUGAAAUGCUUAGAUAUCGUCAAGAACACCUAUAGCGAAGGCAGCUUACUGGGCUGUAACUGACGCUGAGGCACGAAAGUGUGGGGAUCAAACAGG